AGAGUUUGAUUCUGGCUCAGGAUGAACGCUAGCGACAGGCUUAACACAUGCAAGUCGAGGGGCAUCACGGGAGUAGCAAUACAACUGGUGGCGACCGGCGCACGGGUGAGUAACGCGUAUGCAACCUACCUAUCAGAGGGGAAUAACCCGGCGAAAGUCGGACUAAUACCGCAUAAAACAGGGGCACCGCAUGGUGAUAUUUGUUAAAGAAAUUCGCUGAUAGAUGGGCAUGCGUUCCAUUAGGUAGUUGGUGAGGUAACGGCUCACCAAGCCGACGAUGGAUAGGGGAACUGAGAGGUUGGUCCCCCACACUGGUACUGAGACACGGACCAGACUCCUACGGGAGGCAGCAGUGAGGAAUAUUGGUCAAUGGGCGGGAGCCUGAACCAGCCAAGUCCGCGUGAAGGAAGAAGGAUCUAUGGUUCGUAAACUUCUUUUGCAGGGGAAUAAAGUGCAGGACGUGUCCUGUUUUGUAUGUACCCUGAGAAUAAGGAUCGGCUAACUCCGUGCCAGCCGCCGC
rnacentral:rRNA from 1 species